rnacentral:rRNA from 1 species
CGGCCGCGUCGACAGUGGGCCAUUUUGGUAAGCAGAACUGGCGAUGAGGGAUGAACCUAACGCUUAGAUAAGGUGCCAAAUUCACGCUCAUCAGAUCCCAUAAAGGUGUUAGUUAAUAUAGACAGAUGGACUGUGGCCAUGGAAGUCGGCACCAGCUAAGGAGUGUGUAACAACUCACCAGCCGAAUUAACUAGCCCUGAAAUUGAUGGCGCUAAAGCGUGAUACCGAUACUAAGCCAUCACAGUAAAUAGAAGCUGUGAUGAGUAAGAGGGCGUGAAUACUGUACAGAAGAUUUGGGCGUGAGCCUGAU